rnacentral:rRNA from 1 species
UACGAAGGGGACUAGCGUUGUUCGGAAUUACUGGGCGUAAAGCGCACGUAGGCGGCUUUGUAAGUUAGAGGUGAAAGCCCGGGGCUCAACUCCGGAACUGCCUUUAAGACUGCAUCGCUUGAAUCCAGGAGAGGUGAGUGGAAUUCCGAGUGUAGAGGUGAAAUUCGUAGAUAUUCGGAAGAACACCAGUGGCGAAGGCGGCUCACUGGCCCGAUACUGACGCUGAGGCACGAAAGCGUGGGGAGCAAACAGG